GAGACUCUGUGCGCGUGCAUAUCAAUAAGCGGAGGAAAAGAAACUAACAAGGAUUCCCCUAGUAACGGCGAGUGAAGCGGGAAGAGCUCAAAUUUGAAAUCUUAAAGGGUUUCCCUUUACGAAUUGUAGUUUAAAGAAGUGUUUUCUGUUGGAGUUUCGGUAAAAGUUCUUUGGAAUAGGACAUCAUAGAGGGUGAGAAUCCCGUAUUUGACCAGUUAUUUUCAGCUGUGUGAUACACUUUCAAAGAGUCGGAUUGUUUGGGAAUGCAGUCCAAGAUGGGUGGUAAAUUUCAUCUAAAGCUAAAUAUUGGCGAGAGACCGAUAGCGAACAAGUACCGUGAGGGAAAGAUGAAAAGAACUUUGAAAAGAGAGUUAAACAGUACGUGAAAUUGUCAAAAGGGAAGCGUUUGACACCAGUGUUGUUUAGUUGAAAAUCAAUUCAAUAGUUUUUGAUUCUAAGUAGUAUUGACUUCAUCAGCUUGCUGCUUUCUUCUCAGAAAUUAUUGAAUGCACUUUUCAGUUAACAAGUCAACAUCAAUUUCUUUUGUUGUAAAAGGGUAAGAGGAAGGUGGCUUGCGCUUCGGCUCAAGUGUUUAUAGCCUUUUAUCUCUGCAAUCGGAGAGAUUGAGGUCUGCAGCGUAGAUCCUUCGGGGUUAGAUACAUUGGUGCUAAGCUAUAGCCUUGUAUAGACAACUUGUUGACUAUGCUCAGUCAUGUAGCUUACUCGCUGAUGCUAUUUUACCUACGCUUAGGAUGUUGAAUCUGUGCGAGACUA
rnacentral:rRNA from 1 species